GGACUACAGGGGUUUCUAAUCCUGUUUGCUCCCCUAGCUUUCGUGCCUCAGUGUCAGGUGUUGUCCAGGGACUCGCCUUCGCCACUGGUGUUCCACUUGAUAUCUACGCAUUUCACUGCUACACCAAGUAUUCCAGUCCCCCUUCCAAACCUCGAGCAGAAUAGUAUUCAAUGCAGUUUCCGGGUUAAGCCCGGAGAUUUCACAUCAAACUUACCCCGCCACCUACGCACCCUUUACGCCCAGUGAAUCCGAACAACGCUCGGGACCUCUGUAUUACCGCGGCUGCUGGCAC
rnacentral:rRNA from 1 species